rnacentral:rRNA from 1 species
GACGGGUGAGUAACGCGUGGGAACGUACCUUUUGGUUCGGAACAACACAGGGAAACUUGUGCUAAUACCGGAUAAGCCCUUACGGGGAAAGAUUUAUCGCCGAAAGAUCGGCCCGCGUCUGAUUAGCUAGUUGGUGAGGUAAUGGCUCACCAAGGCGACGAUCAGUAGCUGGUCUGAGAGGAUGAUCAGCCACAUUGGGACUGAGACACGGCCCAAACUCCUACGGGAGGCAGCAGUGGGGAAUAUUGGACAAUGGGCGCAAGCCUGAUCCAGCCAUGCCGCGUGAGUGAUGAAGGCCCUAGGGUUGUAAAGCUCUUUUGUGCGGGAAGAUAAUGACGGUACCGCAAGAAUAAGCCCCGGCUAACUUCGUGCCAGCAGCCGCGGUAAUACGAAGGGGGCUAGCGUUGCUCGGAAUCACUGGGCGUAAAGGGUGCGUAGGCGGGUCUUUAAGUCAGGGGUGAAAUCCUGGAGCUCAACUCCAGAACUGCCUUUGAUACUGAAGAUCUUGAGUUCGGGAGAGGUGAGUGGAACUGCGAGUGUAGAGGUGAAAUUCGUAGAUAUUCGCAAGAACACCAGUGGCGAAGGCGGCUCACUGGCCCGAUACUGACGCUGAGGCACGAAAGCGUGGGGAGCAAACAGGAUUAGAUACCCUGGUAGUCCACGCCGUANACGAUGAAUGCCAGCCGUUAGUGGGUUUACUCACUAGUGGCGCAGCUAACGCUUUAAGCAUUCCCGCCUGGGGAGUACGGUCGCAAGAUUAAAAC